GUGGGGAAUAUUGGACAAUGGGCGAAAGCCUGAUCCAGCCACGCCGCGUGGGUGAUGAAGGCCUUCGGGUUGUAAAGCCCUGUCGGGAGGGACGAAUACUGACGGUACCUCCCAAGAAAGCACCGGCUAACUCCGUGCCAGCAGCCGCGGUAAUACGGAGGGUGCAAGCGUUGCUCGGAAUUACUGGGCGUAAAGCGUACGCAGGCGGUCUGAUAAGUCGGGUGUGAAAGCCCCAGGCUCAACCUGGGAACUGCAUCCGAAACUGCCAGACUUGAGUUCGGGAGAGGGAAGUGGAAUUCCUGGUGUAGAGGUGAAAUUCGUUGAUAUCAGGAGGAACACCGGCGGCGAAAGCGGCUUCCUGGCCCGAUACUGACGCUCAUGUACGAAAGCGUGGGGAGCAAACAGGAUUAGAAACCCGAGUAGUCC
rnacentral:rRNA from 1 species